AGCAGAUGAUGUGCCCAUGGUGAUAGGAAGCCCGCAGCUCUGUGGCCAUGCUGGGUGUUUCAUUGUCUUUUUCUCACUAUGGAACUCUUGAACUGGAGGCCUGAAUUCUCUCCUAUUUUCUGCAGCAUAAAGAAGGCAAAGAAUUGCCUGAAGACAAAGAGUGGAAUAAUCUUUUUCCUUUAGAGGAAUUCCAAGCUGGCACCAGUGGAUGUGAAUUCAAAAAAAUACGGAGGAUGUUUUGAAAUACCAAGCUACGUAUUUUCUGGAUGAAGUAAAGAAAGAUGGCAAUCAGGUAUUAGUGAAUGUCAGAGACAGUCUGAGUGAAUUCUGGAAGAAAUUAACUCGUUUAAUUAUGAUGAUCAAGAGAGCCUUCUUAUUUG